GGGUGCGAUCAUACCAGUGUUAAUGCACCGGAUCCCAUCAGAACUUCGUAGUUAAGUGCGCUUGGGCUAGAGUAAUACUGGGAUGGGUGACCUCUCGGGAAGUCCUAGUGUUGCACCCU
rnacentral:rRNA from 1 species